rnacentral:misc_RNA from 1 species
GGCAGCACGAGGUGAAGGUGCUUUACCAGUAGUUAUAGGCUGGCUCCAGGUAAAUGUUUCAGUAUCUAAAAUAUGUACAUGAUCAUUCCAUCCUCUUGGAUGACUUGAAUUCCAAAAAGAUGUUUCAUCGAAUUCAAAAGUUCCCAAUACUUUAUCUUCAGGCAAAUAUCCAUACCCUCCAAAAAAUAUUAACUUGUUUUUAUAUACCCAGACACCAAG